ensembl:lncRNA
GGAAGACUAUUUUCAGAUGCCUCCAGGAAGAUGUCCCCAGCAGUUUCUAGCAAUUUCUCACCAGGAACAUGGGGAAGGAGAAAUAGACAUUGGAAACAACCCAUCAGGCAUGUGUCCAAACUCAGCCUCUGACUUAUGGCCUCAGAUUUUCUACUCAACCUCCCUGAGCCCCAAUUCCCUUAUCUGUACAAUGGGACUCCUGAACUGUUGGUGGGGGGUAAUGAUUUGAGAUGAGACAUGGAAAAGAUCCUGUGAAGUCCCAGGCAUUUGACAGAUUUAGCAGCCACCACUGUCAACAAAGCCCACCCUCCUUUCUUUGGCCCUUUGGUCCCACCUGCACUUUCCAGAUGGAAACCUCCGCCCUCCUCAUCAUAAGGCUCCCUCUCCCAAGCCUGCUCCUCCCCUUCUGCAGCUGGAGAGAAUUGCUUGUUCCCACAGGGCUUGGCACAGAAUAGGUGCUGUCUUUCUCCUCCUUCCUCUGGCUGCCUUAAGCUUUGCUUUUGCUGCCUUUUAGGUCUUAACAUUUAUGAUAAUCCGCCUUGUAGUACUAAUAACAGCAGAGUCCUUACAAGGUUCCCUGCUCUGCAGUAAGGGCUUUGCAUGCAUCAUCAUCUCAGUAAAUCUUCUGAACAACCCUCUGCCGUCGGUCCUGGCAUAAUUCCUGUUUUAAAAAUGAGUAAACUGAGACUUGAGAGGCUCCUUGACAAGAGAUGACUUGUCCACGGUCUCAGAGCUGGUUAGUUCUGCUAGUGGAGCAGAGUUGCCACCAAGAGAAUCCAGGGGCCUCGGUGGCUUCCCUGGCUGAACCCACUGUGUCCACAUCUGGAUACUUCAGCUGUGAGGCCCCUGAGGGCAACAGCCUGUCUUCAUCAUCUCUGAGUUCCAUACUGGGCCUAGUGAGAGGUACCUAAUGGGGGCUCUAGGCAGGAGUCACAUGACAUGGCUUCAGGGCUUGACCGAUGUCUGUGUGAAUUUGGGCAAGUUACCUGCCUCUCUGAGUGGGACCAUCGCUGCCCAGCUAGCUGGUGGGGAGGACCGGAUGACAUAACAUAUCUGAAAGCCAGCAGUGAUGGGUAGGGGAACCCCUUUGCCCUCCCUCUGCCUGAAGGCCCUGGGGUCUGUGUGGAGACUGAAGGUGCAGGAACCCCAGAGCACCAGCAGGAGUCACCAGCGAGGCAUUCUGCUCCUGAAGGUCCAUGCCAUUCUUUUGGGGCUCUUUCUGGGUUCCACUGAAGACUGUAGCCACAGAAUCCUUCUCCCUUUGUACACUCCACACACUGGGAGGUUGUGAUUCUCCUGUGUGUUGAUCUAUUAUCUCGGGGCAGAAGGCAGGAGAGCCAGCAAUAAGUUCUAUCCCUGGUUUCUGGCUGGAGAAAGCAGGGCUAGGGGAGAGGAAGGCUGUGCCCAGUGAUGCCAACAGCCCCCCAUCCCAGACUGGCCCUGACCUCCUCGGAGGGGGUGGCUGCUUAUGGGGAAGUGCACCACAGUUUGGCUUGAGAAAAAGUACUUGGUGGAACCUUCUGGAAGCAGGGAGCUGGGGAAGGAGGGACUGUCCAUCCUCAGUUUUCCUAGUAAUAGUGGGAAGGAUGGGCACCCCUUGGUGUUUAAGGGGGCUGCUGCAGACAGGGAGCAGGACAGUCAGUCUUCCUGCUUCUCUCUACUUGGCCCUAACUCCUUUGGGGCUCCAUCUCUCUGAUUCUUUCCUCUUCCUGAUAGCUUUCAACCAGUCUUGAGCACCUUCCUAAACAGACACCUGCUCCCUAAACUCAGGGCAAGUGCUAUUUAUUCAGCCUAUGCGGCUCUUGUUUGCUUUCAUUCUGCUCCUUCUUCCAGGGUUAUCAUCUUCAAAAUCACCAUCUCCUUGGUAAAGUCAGUCCUGACUCAGCCUGGGAUUGACUGCUGUCUGCUGUGGCCCCCAUCUCACAGGAAUGAGCCCUUCCUUGAGAGCACUGAGCUCAGUUGUUUACAGGCCUGGGCAUCUGCUUUUCCACUCAGCACAAGAGGGAAUAUACUUAUUAAGAUCAGACCCUUUGCUGGGUUUUUGCCAAAUGUGAUGAUACAAUGAAAAGAAGAUGAAGAAAUUGAAGGUCUUGGAAAAAAAGAAAAAGAAAAGAAAUGUUAUUGGAUGAUAUAC